UGGGGAAUUUUGCACAAUGGGGGAAACCCUGAUGCAGCGACGCCGCGUGAUUUAGAAGGCCUUCGGGUUGUAAAAAUCUUUUUUACGGGAUGAAAAUGACAGUACCGUAAGAAUAAGGUCCGGCUAAAUACGUGCCAGCAGCCGCGGUAAUACGUAUGGACCGAGCGUUGUCCGGAAUCAUUGGGCGUAAAGGGUACGUAGGCGGCCUAGUAAGUUAGAAGUGAAAUAAUAUAGCUCAACUAUAUAAAGCUUUUAAAACUGCUAGGCUUGAGAGAUGGAAGGGAAAGUGGAAUUCCUAGUGUAGCGGUGAAAUGCGCAGAUAUUAGGCAGAAUACCGGUGGCGAAGGCGACUUUCUGGUCAUCAUCUGACGCUGAGGUACGAAAGCGUGGGUAGCAAACAGG
rnacentral:rRNA from 1 species